AAUCCUUAGUAGUUUAAUUUACAUUAGAAUAAUAAUUUGUGGUAUUAUAGGUAUAUUUUUUAUCAGGAUUA
rnacentral:tRNA from 1 species